UACGGGGGGGGCAAGCGUUGUUCGGAAUUACUGGGCGUAAAGGGCUCGUAGGCGGCCUUCUAAGUCGAACGUGAAAUCCCCGGGCUCAACCCGGGAACUGCGUCCGAUACUGGAAGGCUUGAAUCCGGGAGAGGGAUGCGGAAUUCCAGGUGUAGCGGUGAAAUGCGUAGAUAUCUGGAGGAACACCGGUGGCGAAGGCGGCAUCCUGGACCGAGAUUGACGCUGAUGAGCGAAAGCUAGGGGAGCAAACGGG
rnacentral:rRNA from 1 species